GAGUUUGAUCAUGGCUCAGAUUGAACGCUGGCGGCAGGCCUAACACAUGCAAGUCGAACGGUAACAGGAAACAGCUUGCUGUUUCGCUGACGAGUGGCGGACGGGUGAGUAAUGUCUGGGAAACUGCCUGAUGGAGGGGGAUAACUACUGGAAACGGUAGCUAAUACCGCAUAACGUCGCAAGACCAAAGAGGGGGACCUUCGGGCCUCUUGCCAUCGGAUGUGCCCAGAUGGGAUUAGCUUGUUGGUGGGGUAACGGCUCACCAAGGCGACGAUCCCUAGCUGGUCUGAGAGGAUGACCAGCCACACUGGAACUGAGACACGGUCCAGACUCCUACGGGAGGCAGCAGUGGGGAAUAUUGCACAAUGGGCGCAAGCCUGAUGCAGCCAUGCCGCGUGUAUGAAGAAGGCCUUCGGGUUGUAAAGUACUUUCAGCGGGGAGGAAGGGAGUAAAGUUAAUACCUUUGCUCAUUGACGUUACCCGCAGAAGAAGCACCGGCUAACUCCGUGCCAGCAGCCGCGGUAAUACGGAGGGUGCAAGCGUUAAUCGGAAUUACUGGGCGUAAAGCGCACGCAGGCGGUUUGUUAAGUCAGAUGUGAAAUCCCCGGGCUCAACCUGGGAACUGCAUCUGAUACUGGCAAGCUUGAGUCUCGUAGAGGGGGGUAGAAUUCCAGGUGUAGCGGUGAAAUGCGUAGAGAUCUGGAGGAAUACCGGUGGCGAAGGCGGCCCCCUGGACGAAGACUGACGCUCAGGUGCGAAAGCGUGGGGAGCAAACAGGAUUAGAUACCCUGGUAGUCCACGCCGUAAACGAUGUCGACUUGGAGGUUGUGCCCUUGAGGCGUGGCUUCCGGAGCUAACGCGUUAAGUCGACCGCCUGGGGAGUACGGCCGCAAGGUUAAAACUCAAAUGAAUUGACGGGGGCCCGCACAAGCGGUGGAGCAUGUGGUUUAAUUCGAUGCAACGCGAAGAACCUUACCUGGUCUUGACAUCCACAGAACUUUCCAGAGAUGGAUUGGUGCCUUCGGGAACUGUGAGACAGGUGCUGCAUGGCUGUCGUCAGCUCGUGUUGUGAAAUGUUGGGUUAAGUCCCGCAACGAGCGCAACCCUUAUCCUUUGUUGCCAGCGGUCCGGCCGGGAACUCAAAGGAGACUGCCAGUGAUAAACUGGAGGAAGGUGGGGAUGACGUCAAGUCAUCAUGGCCCUUACGACCAGGGCUACACACGUGCUACAAUGGCGCAUACAAAGAGAAGCGACCUCGCGAGAGCAAGCGGACCUCAUAAGUGCGUCGUAGUCCGGAUUGGAGUCUGCAACUCGACUCCAUGAAGUCGGAAUCGCUAGUAAUCGUGGAUCAGAAUGCCACGGUGAAUACGUUCCCGGGCCUUGUACACACCGCCCGUCACACCAUGGGAGUGGGUUGCAAAAGAAGUAGGUAGCUUAACCUUCGGGAGGGCGCUUACCACUUUGUGAUUCAUGACUGGGGUGAAGUCGUAACAAGGUAACCGUAGGGGAACCUGCGGUUGGAUCACC
rnacentral:rRNA from 1 species